UAAGGGGCCACAAGCCCCUUCCCUCGGCGCUCUGUGUCCUUCUCACCCUUCCCGGGGUCUGCUCGCAAUUCACCCGUCAGACUCUGAGCAACUCUCUAGCCCUCCGGGGCCGCGCUGAGCCACGUGGCCCGAGACUUCGGAAACUUUAAACCGCCACUACCGGGAAGGGGGUGGAGGGGAUAAUCCUAAACAUACACUCAGCAGCUGGCUUUUUUCACCGAGGGUCAGAGUGGAGCCUUUUCUCCAGAUGUUGGGAUCCCGGCAGCCUUCUCGGUAAGCGUGGCAGCUCAACUACCAGGAGCCCCCCACAGUUGUGCUGUGAGGCAAACCAGUGUUUAUGGCGUUAGCCCUCAAAGCCCCUCAAAGCCCCUUAUGGAGCAUGUCCCUGGUUCUCUGCCCCUUUCAUAGAGGAGGAAGUCGAGCUCAGCGAGAGCUGGAAGUGUCCUUGGAGAGCAUGAAGCCUGGCUCUCUCUCUUCUCACUGAUAAGGAAGCAGGCCCCUAUCAGAGGCAGGAAUCAGCUUGGUGAGGUCCCAGCCAGUUCCAGGCCGAGCUUCCUUCCCUAUGAAAUGGGAUGAACCAGGGUCAUUGCCUCCUCGGCUGGGAAAGAAGAUACUAGCCUAACGAAUGUAGCA